AACAACCACUUAGUCCUUUUUAUAAGGCAUAGUUGGGCGUGAUCAAUAUUGUUAUCCAACUAAUUUAAAAAAUAAGAAUAAUGCAUCACAUGUAGGAGUAUGAUUAAUUAUUAAAUAUGCUGUCUCACUUUAAUCAGUUUUAGGUGUAGGAAAAAAUGAUCCCUCAUAUAUAUAUCAUCUCCUCCAACCCUGCAAAGAAAAAGUCAAAAAAGAAAUUGAAAAAAAAGAUCUUAGAAACUUUUAAGCUGGUUUUUUGGAUUAAUUAUGGUGAUGAAAAAUGUGGACAGAUAAUUUAAUGAUUGAAAGAAGUUGCUAAAAAUUAAUUAUGAGUAAUUGAUCAAGAGAAUUCCACAAUUGCUGGCUUCAAAGUCUAUUUAAUUCUAUUCUAUUCAUCUACUUGAUUCAUGGUACACAUAUUUUAUUCUGAUUCUACCGUUGGUUGGUCAUCUAUCAUGCUCAUAUAUUACGUUCCUUUCCAGAUAUAGAUUAUUUUCACUUUUUUGUUUUGUUUAUAUUCCUUUGAAAAUGGUGGGUCCGAUAUAAAAUUCAUGCUCAAAAUAUUUUAAUUUUCGAGCACAAAUUUGUCAAUAAAAAAAAAGUAGACUUAUAAUGAGAGUUGUUUCAUGCAAUAAAUAAAUUCGAAUACUUACGAAAUGUGUUGACAAGCAAAUUUACAUCUUUUACAAUUAAUACAGUCCUCUAUUCGUGGAGCAGAAACAAUUUGUUUAGCCCUACAACCAAUCCAAGAAAGGAAGGAAAUGAAGAAAAGAUGAAUUUUCAACCCUGAACUUUUUCGAUGAAAAAAAGAUUGUAAUACAUUAAUACAAGGCAGUGAAAGGAAGAGGCAAAAAGAUACAUACGGUGAAUUGAAUUUAAUUAUACAUACUGCACGAAAAAUUCACACUAAUAUUACUAGCUAGGUUGUAGUUCUUGGCGGUAACAUCCGGCCUAAUUAUUGACAAGGUAAAAAUUUAUUUGCAGUCGGUGUUUACACCAAUAUAUAUACUCAAAGAGUCAAAUAUACCUUUGUAUUAUGAAAAAAAAAUUAAAUAUAUCCUUCUUUAUACUUUGGGUCAAAAUAUACCCCUGCCGUAAUACUAUUGGUUCAAAUAUACUCUUCUUUCGUUAAGUUUGCCCAACGUGAACAUCUAAUCCUAUGCAACAUUGAUGUUUGAUGAGGUGCCCUAAUCUAUAUAUAAAUGACUAAAAUUUAAAAUACAAUAUUUUUCAUGGUAGCAGUAAUGAUGGCAAUAGUGGUGUAGGGGAAAAAAAUUUGAGUGGUGAAAAAAAAAAAUAGAAUAGAGGGGUAAAAUGGGUUAGGGGCGCUGAGGUGGCAAGCCAUGUGACAUCCACCUCAUUAAAUAUGGGUGUCACAUAGGAUUGAGUGUCCACUUUGGACAAACUUAAUGAAAAAUGCGUAAAUUUGAACCAAUGAUAUAAGGGAAAAGGGCCAAAAUUGUCCCUGUAGUACUGAAAAUUAGUCACGUUUAUACCUGUGUCCACUUUGGACAAACUUAAUGAAAAAUGUGUAAAUUUGAACCAAUGAUAUAAGGGAAAAGGGCCAAAAUUGUCCCUGUAGUAUUGAAAAUUAGUCACGUUUAUAUCUGUCUAAAUAUGUCCCUACCGUUAAGAAAGUAGACAAAAAUAUCCCCAACCCUAACGGAUGUCCACUGUGGCAAGAGAUUCCCUUAAUUAAAAAUGCCAUGUAAUUAUCUUUUUCAUUUCAAAUAUUUAUUCUUUUUCCUUUUCUCUUUUUUCUCUCUCAUUUUCCCUACCAUCAGAAUUCCUCUACUAAUAGUUAUAAUGAAAUUUCGCCGGAAAAAAUUAUGUUGGCGCCACUGCAAAUUAUUGACAUACCUGGGGUGUAGAGUCUGCAGACAUAAACACCACUUCAAGUCCAUCUCCCCCAUAAACACCUCCUAGAUCUACACCAAAACACAACCAUAUGAUUUUAAAUUUUUUUGCAAACACCAUAGCUAGACCAGAAUAAGCUUCAAUCUAACUAUACAAUUUUCACACCAACCUUUAUCAGCCAACCAAAAAAAUAAUGGCACCGCAAUCGAGGCGUAAUAGAGACAAUAAGUGGAAGAAAUCACAUCAUAAAGAAAAAUGAGAAGAAAGGGAAAAAAUGGUGGCCACCACUAUAAGAAUCAAGGAUAAAAUUCUGACCAUCUAAAGCUAUGAAAGUUGAAGAUGAUAGUGGUAUCGGCUGUUCUUCAAACUUUGAUUCGUUCCAUCUCGUUAUCAGUGACCGAAAAAAUUGAAUGAUGAACUCAAGCUCCUCAAUUGACCCACAUAUCAGCGACAUAUCCAAUUUAAAGUGCAGGUUCGAGAUUGAGGUUGCGAUGAAUUCAUGACUUAUUGAGAAGUACUAUGGAUCGACCUAACUUGAAAAAGGUCAAGAUGAGGAUGGUGGUUUAUUGGUGACACAAAUGAUAGUCUAGAUUUAUCUUUUUGAGAAAGAUGGUUGGCAGAGGUUGCCUUGAUGGUGGAGGGCAAGGGAUUCAGAUGGUUGGGAAAAAGAGAGAUUUAC
rnacentral:lncRNA from 1 species